rnacentral:rRNA from 1 species
GAUGAACGCUGGCGGCGUGCCUAAUACAUGCAAGUCGAGCGAACGGACGAGAAGCUUGCUUCUCUGAUGUUAGCGGCGGACGGGUGAGUAACACGUGGAUAACCUACCUAUAAGACUGGGAUAACUUCGGGAAACCGUAGCUAAUACCGGAUAAUACUUUGAACCACAUGGUUCAAAAGUGAAAGACGGUCUUGCUGUCACUUAUAGAUGGAUCCGCGCUGCAUUAGCUAGUUGGUAAGGUAACGGCUUACCAAGGCAACGAUGCAUAGCCGACCUGAGAGGGGGAUCGGCCACACUGGAACUGAGACACGGUCCAGACUCCUACGGGAGGCAGCAGUAGGGAAUCUUCCGCAAUGGGCGAAAGCCUGACGGAGCAACGCCGCGUGAGUGAUGAAGGUCUUCGGAUCGUAAAACUCUGUUAUUAGGGAAGAACAUAUGUGUAAGUAACUGUGCACAUCUUGACGGUACCUAAUCAGAAAGCCACGGCUAACUACGUG